UACGUAGGGGGCGAGCGUUGUCCGAAGUUACUGGGCGUAAAGCGCACGUAGGCGGUUAUCUAAGUCUGGGGUGAAAGGUUCAGUGCUUAACGCGAACAGUGCCUUGGAGACUGGAUGACUUGAGUUUGGGAGAGGGUAGUGGAAUGGCUGGUGUAGCGGUGAAAUGCGUAGAUAUCAGUCGGAACACCAAUGGCGAAGGCAGCUACCUGGCCUAAAAACUGACGCUGAGGUGCGAAAGCGUGGGGAGC
rnacentral:rRNA from 1 species